CAAGUCGAACGGCAGCACGGGGGCAACCCUGGUGGCGAGUGGCGAACGGGUGAGUAAUACAUCGGAACGUAUCCUUAAGUGGGGGAUAACGCACCGAAAGGUGUGCUAAUACCGCAUAAUCUCCAAGGAGAAAAGCAGGGGAUCGCAAGACCUUGCGCUUUUGGAGCGGCCGAUGUCUGAUUAGCUAGUUGGUGAGGUAAAGGCUUACCAAGGCGUCGAUCAGUAGCUGGUCUGAGAGGACGACCAGCCACACUGGGACUGAGACACGGCCCAGACUCCUACGGGAGGCAGCAGUGGGGAAUUUUGGACAAUGGGGGAAACCCUGAUCCAGCCAUGCCGCGUGAGUGAAGAAGGCCUUCGGGUUGUAAAGCUCUUUCAGCCGGAACGAAACGGUCACGGUUAAUACCCGUGACUACUGACGGUACCGGAAGAAGAAGCACCGGCUAACUACGUGCCAGCAGCCGCGGUAAUACGUAGGGUGCGAGCGUUAAUCGGAAUUACUGGGCGUAAAGCGUGCGCAGGCGGUUUUGUAAGUCAGAUGUGAAAUCCCCGGGCUUAACCUGGGAACUGCGUUUGAAACUACAAGGCUAGAGUGUGGCAGAGGGGGGUGGAAUUCCACGUGUAGCAGUGAAAUGCGUAGAGAUGUGGAGGAACACCGAUGGCGAAGGCAGCCCCCUGGGUUAACACUGACGCUCAGGCACGAAAGCGUGGGGAGCAACAGGAUUAGAUACCCUGGUAGUCCACGCCCUAACGAUGUCAACUAGUUGUCGGGUCUUA
rnacentral:rRNA from 1 species